GGAUCAAUGAAGCGGCCAUGAUCGAAAAAAUAGCCACUAAUGUUUCAAACAUGUUGAAUUGCUGCACACCUUCAAGAGACUUUGACAGUUUAGUUGGGAUGGAAGCUCAUAUGGAAGAGUUGGGACCGUUGUUACGUCUAGAUUCAGAUGAGGUAAGGAUAAUUGGGAUUUGGGGUCCGCCUGGGAUUGGUAAGACAACCAUCGGUAGAUUUAUGUUAGACCAAUUCUCCAGCAGAUUCGAACUUAGUGCAAUCAUGGUUGAUAUUAGAAGAAGCUAUCCCUUUCCAAUAUCUUGUUCGGAUGAGUAUAGUGCUCAGUUGCAACUUCAAACACAAAUGUUGUCUCAAAUGAUGAAUCAGAAAGAUAUCAAGAUUUCUCAUUUAGGAAUGGCCCAAGAAUGGUUGAAAGAAAAGAAGGUGUUUCUCGUUCUUGAUGAAGUAGAUAAGUUAGGACAAGUAAAUGCCUUGGCGGAGGAAACCCGAUGGUUUGGUCCUGGAAGUCGGAUUAUUAUUAUAACAGAAGAUCUAAGAAUUCUUAAAGCUCUUAAGAUCAAUCAUAUUUACGCAGUGAAUUUUCCAACAAGUGAUGAGGCUUUUCAAAUCUUUUGUAUGCAUGCCUUUGGACACAAGCACCCAGAUGAUGGCUUCUAUGAGCUUGCUAGAGAAGUUGCCAACCUUGCUGGUAAACUCCCUUUGGGUUUGAAGAUUCUAGGCUCCAGUUUGAAAGGAAAGUCCAAGCCAGAGUGGGAAAGGAAACUACCAAGGUUAAAGACCAAGCUUAAUGGAGAAAUAGAGAGCAUUAUGAAGUUCAGUUAUGAUGCCUUAGAUGAUGAAGAAAACAAAUACAUAUUUCUUUAUAUAGCCUGCUUUUUCAGCAACAAGUUCUUAUAUCAACGUAAUGUGGAAGAGAUUCUGUCAAAGAAGUUCUCGGAUGUGAGGCAAGGUCUUGAAGUUUUAGCUGAAAAAGCUCUCAUAUCUAUAAAUUACGGAUUGAUACAUAUGCAUCAUCUACUACAGCAAUUUGGAAGAGAAACUUCACGUAAACAAUUUGUUCAGCAUGGCCUUAGGGAACAUUAUCUUUUGGUCGGUGCAAGAGAUAUAUGUGAAGAGCUCAGCAAUGAUACAACAGUAAGUUAUGUUGUUGCAAUAUUGCUUUUUACAAAUUGUGUUUAUUUUAUAACUAACUAGAUAAGGGUCCACGUAAAAACGCGGGUUAAUUUUUAUGUUUUCACGUAUGUGGUAAAAAUAUUGCAUGUGUUAAAAUUUGGAAAAUCAUAACAUUAACA
rnacentral:lncRNA from 1 species